CCGAUCCAAAAGCAGUAGUUCUUUAUCUUUAGCUUUUUAGGUCGAAGCAAACGCACGCAACCUUUUCUUUUGGCACCGAGCCCCUCCAACCGGGUCUUGAGCAAGCGAGGAGUUACAAGAGCCAUGGUUUCUUUUGGCACCGGCAAGCUCGCUUCCAAGCGAUGUCUAUGGCUUUGGAACUAUGUUGCUAACAGGGAAGCAGAUGAUGUGAGUUGUGCAAUAUUAUGGGCAGAAAAUGGAGGAAGAAAGGUUAUUGGAUGCCAUUGAUCCGAUACUACAAAGAAGGAACAAGUGCUUGGGCGAUGAAGACAAUGAAGGCUUUUUGGGCAGGGACGAAUCCUGCUCAUGCCCCUGUAAGAGCACUCGCAUCCCGUUCUGCAUCCGCCCCCCAUCCCUAUAAUUUAGGGAAACUUUUAAGGUUUUCAUGAAAAACCUCCCCCCAUCCCAAUCCCUAAAAUGGGGAUGAAGUAUAGGGGUGCUACAGAAGUUCCCCAUAUAUGGGGAACGACUGUACAUCCCCAUCGCUCCUGCCCCAACGAUUCUCUCCUUCGUCCCGCGUCUUCUUCUCUUUUCCCUACCUCGCAACGCAGCACCAACGAGCACCUCUCUUCGCCUGUAAGUGAUUCUCAAUUCUUUUCCAUCGUUUAUGUUUCUCUCUUCUCAGAUCGAUAGUCUGUGAUAGUAAAUCUCAAUACAAUAUUGGGGAGGGCGAAGAGGGAGUUGAUGUCGUCAGCACCAUGGAGGGGCAAAGAGGAGGCUGUCGAGGAGUUUCGGGAUGUAAAGCUCAAAGUCACGAAGUAGCCUGGAGUCGAAUCAGUGAUGUGUGUCCCUCGAAGAAAGAACGACAAGUCCAAACGCCACGACCUCAAAGAUGAUGAUUCGCUUGUUUCUUCAACGGGUAUUCAGCAUUGACACUGUUGUGAAACCUCGUCCACCUACCAUGGCCUAUAAUAUCUCCUGCAUUUUCAUGCAGUUCUUUGAUCCAGAAGGCAUUGAAAAGGCUCAGAAAUCACUUGGGAUGGGGCAGGAAGAAAAAGCUCGCUGUGUUCAAUGAAAACUGUGUUCAAUGAAAAGGGAGGGGAGUCAAGCAAGGCAGUUGAGGGCAUGUGGUUUAAUUCAUGGUUUUUGACAGUGUCAAGAACUGUUUUACAAAUAAAAAUAGAUGAUGUGAUUUUACAGGACGAAUUGUUAUUUGAUAAUCAUAGACUAGAAAAUUUUGAUUUGUUAUGUGGUAAUGAUGUAGUGGAAUAGUUGAUUAUGUGACUUCAUAUGAGCCAAGGCUUAACGAUUUGUUUUCCUUUUGUGUUCUGUUUUUUUGCGGAUGGAAUGUAUAUAGAUGAAAAUAUACUGUUUGGUUUCGGAUGAAA